rnacentral:lncRNA from 1 species
UUGGGCGAAGGCCGCCUCCAGCCAGCCGUGCCUACGGACACGUUUCGGCUCCAGUUCUCCCCUCUGGUUUGCCUCCAGCUCUUGCGGACAACAUCAGCCCUCUGGGGACUUGGACUGAUUCUCCAGUUAGCGCAUACCUGUCCCACUCCUGUCUGCAAGAUUUGGAGCCCUGUCUGUGCUUCCAGUUCAGACUUCACCAGCCCUGCAGGGAGGACAAAGGCCCCUCCAGCCACCUCCUUGCUCAAGCUGCUUUCUAGAUCUCGGCCACUGCCCUAGCAAGAUGCCAGCCCCACCUGAUGUUGAUGAAGCUGCCUGAGGACAUGUGCACAUGCUCAGCCAGGAUCUCCAGCAGCUUCACUCCUGCAGCCAGGCUCAGGGGCCUGGAGAUGGGAGAAGGCAGAGGAAGGGACCACUGCAGUGCUGGGUACAGAGAGGACACCAGAGCAUCUGAGACAAGUACAGCUAUUGGAGCCAGACCACCUGGGUUUGAAUCCUGCCUUUGCUACUGAUGAAUUAUGUAACCUUGGGCAAGUUGCUGAACCUCUCCAAGCCUCAAUUCCCUCAUCAAUAAAAUGGGGAUUUAUACCUCCUAGGAUUGUUAUUAUCAUUAAAAUAACACAUAUACAUAUCAAA